rnacentral:rRNA from 1 species
CUUGGUGAUUUAGAGGAAGUAAAAGACGGAAGAAGGUUGCGGUAGGUGAAGCUGCGGAAGGAGCAAAA